UGUCGCGGUGAAUACGUUCCCGGGUCUUGUACACACCGCCCGUCAAACCAUGAAAGUGACCAACACCCGAAGUCCGAUUCGUCGGCCUAAGGUGGGGGGCAUGAUUGGGGUU
rnacentral:rRNA from 1 species